rnacentral:rRNA from 1 species
AGAACGAACGCUGGCGGCAUGCCUAAUACAUGCAAGUCGAACGAACUCUUCGGAGUUAGUGGCGCACGGGUGCGUAACGCGUGGGAAUCUGCCCUUGGGUUCGGAAUAACAGUUGGAAACGACUGCUAAUACCGGAUGAUGACGAAAGUCCAAAGAUUUAUCGCCCAGGGAUGAGCCCGCGUAGGAUUAGCUAGUUGGUGAGGUAAAGGCUCACCAAGGCGACGAUCCUUAGCUGGUCUGAGAGGAUGAUCAGCCACACUGGGACUGAGACACGGCCCAGACUCCUACGGGAGGCAGCAGUAGGGAAUAUUGGACAAUGGGCGAAAGCCUGAUCCAGCCAUGCCGCGUGU